CAUCUUAGAUUAUCUUAUAUGACAGUGAGUGAAUUUAGAUAACGUGAACAAAAUGGAAUAGAGAUUUUAACAGGGAUUAACUAACUAAAAAAAUCAUACAUAAUACAACAUACAUACAUACAUACAUACAACAGAGGCUUAAACUUGCUUUACUUCUAAAUGCAUGAACCAUAUUUUCUGCUGACCACCAGGUGGCAGCCUUCCUCUAUGAAUAUUCAGCACAUUUCCAUGAUUAAACCUAUUGUUCUGAGGCUGCAACUGUUGUUAUGCAGCUAACAUCCACCAUAUUAUUCAUUCAGACUCCAUUCUCUUCAGCCUUCAGAGGAGCCGCUAUCCUUUCUAAAACUACUGUUUGUUCUGAAAACUAAACCACAUGAGAUGGUCAAAACAGGUGCUUCUCAGCAGGAUGGAAAGGAUGAAAGGUUGAAAACGAGGAGGAUGAAAAGGAUGAACAAAGUUAGGAUGAGAAGAAGGCUAAGCUACAAGAACAUCAGACGAGCUGGUGUGUUUUUCGAUAAAGCAAAGGGGUCCUUGGUGUCGUACUGCAUCCUCAUCAUCAUGUCAGGCAUGCUGAGGCCCUGCUGGUAAGGAGCUGAGGGGGGCAGGGAUGUAGCACGCUUCUGGAAGGCCGGAUCGCUCACCUCCGAGAAGGGGUCUUGUACGCUCACACUGCUCCUGGACAAGGCGAGGAGGGAGGGAGGGACAUGGAGGAGAGAGAAGGGAGAGGAGGGAGAGCGAUGGAGGGAAGGAAUUUUAUGUAAACGCAAUGCUUUUAUUUUUGAAAAAUAUUUCUUACUUGUAAAAGUGGAGAAAUAUUAGCAGCAAAAUGCACUUAACAUAUUAAAAGUAGAAGUACUACUUAUGCAAAAUGA